rnacentral:rRNA from 1 species
CCCUUAGAUGUUCUGGGCUGCACGCGCGCUACACUGAUAUUUGCAACGAGUUACUACCUUGAAACGGGUGGUUAUACUUUGAACAAAUAUCGUGAUGGGGAUAGAUGCUUGAAAUUAUUCAUCUUCAACGAGGAAUUCCUAGUAAGCGUAAGUCAUCAACUUGCGUUGAUUACGUCCCUGCCCUUUGUACACACCGCCCGUCGCUCCUACCGACAGACCGUUCGGGCGAGCUACUCGGACUGGGCAUAGAAUGUUCUAGCCUGGAAAGUUUCGCAAGCCUAAUCAGUUGGAGGAAGGAGAAGUCGUAACA